GCUGCCUCCUCCAGCGCCCCCCUAAGCUGCCAGGUUGCCGUGGUCUGCAGGCGCUCUCCCUCCAUCUCCGCUAGUCUCCCUUGCUGAAGAUCCUUCUAGUCCUGAUAUGUGGCACCUUCCGGAUGGUUCUUGACCUCCGUGCCCAUUGUGGAUUCCGAGGCAGGGCUUGAAGUCUCGACCCUUGAGAUUGAAACCUGAGCUUAACCCAUUGAGUCACCCAGGCGCCCAGAAACAAGCUGGUUUUGUUUAGUGUAAAGUAAAUCCUACGCUCAAUGUGGGGCUUGAACUCACGAACCUGAGCUCAAGAGUCUCAGGUUCCACUGACGGAGCCAGCCAGGCGCCCCAUCCUUGAACUGAUCUCGGGUUGUCCCUUGGAGCCUUCCCGUCUUGCUGGCCGCACCCACACCGCACAGCUGCUGCUGCUGAAGAAACGAGUCUGGAACUUCAACAGCACGAAAACCCUCCGCAGACCAAAACCCUUCUCUAGCUUAAAGAAUUCGUUUCGCACCUAGUAUUUGAAGUCAACGUAAGGUGCUCUGCUGGUCUUGGCGUGCGGCUGUGAGGGACAGAGAUGAAGAGUUCCGGUUGGUGUGACCUGUGCGGUGAAGGGAGCUGCGGGUUUCUGACAUUAAAUAUUAACA